ACAAACAAACAAACAAACAAACCCCAAACCCAACAACAAUAGCAACGACAACAAAAAACAAGAAAACAACAACAACAACAAAAACUACCAAUGAACAUUUUCAAGUGACAGUGUAGAUACAAAAACCUAAGUCUAACAGAGCUCUCUGUUGAGGUGCAGGGGACAGUGACAUUCUAUAGAACUCUUGGAUUGGUUCCUUGUCCGUUAAAUAUUGUGGCUUCAAAGUGGAGCUGACUCUGCAGUAGCUAUUAAACAUAUUCAUUGGAUUUGCCAAGUUCUGGAAAAAGGAAGGCUAUGUCUACCUUCAUCCUCUUUGGGGAACCAAUAGAAAACUCAUGUCAGCCUUGAGCAGAAGAAAACCUAGAGACUCAUGUGGCAGCACUGGCCAAGAAGGCUCCCCAAGUGUGACUGAAGGAAAAUUAAAGGAAUAAAGUAGCUUAACAAGUCCAAAAACUUCUCGGACUCUGUAGCUUGAGGAAGAUGAACGGGGGAGUUCGCUGCUUAAUGUGACCUCCGGUGACUCUUAGACCUGCCUUAGACUUCUGUGACGUUCGAAGGCUGGAGACUUAGGGCUUCGUGCUUUCCGGCCAAGAAUUCUACCAACUGAGCUACAUCUUCACUUGCACAGUUUGUAUUGAAGGUUUCAAAAACUUUAGCUGUUGGAGAGCCUUACUCGUCCUGAGCACUCUGUGAAGUGAGCUGGAGAAGCCCGGGGCAUUUAUCAGAAGUGUUAAGAGUUGGAGGCUGCCUUGAAUUUCCUCACACUCAAGCCUUGUGAAAUUCAAACAUACUUGGAAAAUCUGGAUGUCUUGUGAAAGCUCGUUGGUAACUUGUAAUGGAGGCCGAAUCUAUUAGCAAAAGAAGUAAACAGCUUUUGGAGUCAAAGGAUACCAGAGGGGAAUGAGCUGUGUCUGGAAAAGGCUGCAUUGCAAAAGACAACAGUGCCACCGAUGACAUCUGAAAUUUCAGGACUCCCGUGGACAAAGCUGAUAGCUCCAAAGGUGCGCAUGCCUUUGGGUUUUCCCACCCAGGCAUGAAAUAUACUACAUGCCAAACUCAACAGCACUUAGGACACACAGCUGUCAGGCUCUGAAGACCAGAUGGCCACUAGAGGCUCUGAAAGUACCACCUGCCUUGCCUUUAGAGACAGAGUCUCUUAUUAGCUUGCAUCUCACUAUGGUCCAUGAGCCCAAUGGUUCUGGCUGUUUCUGCCUCUCCAGUUCCUGGGAUCAUAAGAACAGGCCUCCACUCCUGGCCUCUUAUGUGGGCACCGGAGACUAAACUCAGGUCCUUACACAUGCAUGGCGUACAUCUUGCCUGAAGCAAUGUCUGAAUACAAGGUACAUCAUGGCCUCACUCUGCACAAUACUACAGGAGAAUUUUCUUCCCUAUUUUAGUCAGUCUCCAUCUGAGGCAAUUAUCUUGUACUUCCUGAGAUGGAGUCCAUCUUUUCUCAAGAGGACCAUACCAUCACGGAGGAAUUUUAAGUGUUCUGCUGGAUACUACUUGUACAGACGCAUGUUUAUUUCCACGGCACACCUGUUCCUGUGGUGGUGGGACCCCUCUGCUCUAGCCAGCCUCAAGCACUACCUAAGCGCAGUUCUCCCCCUCCAUCUUCAGAAGAGCAAAAAUAGCCUGAAUGUACUAACAGCUUAUCAAGAGCCCCAAACUGUCCCGAGCAUUUUCAUGUGCAUUAGCUCAUCUCCUCCUUACAGCAGCUUGGUAAAAUAGCCAGAAGAGAACACUGAGGCAUGGAGAGAUGCUGCCGCUCUUUUAGGAAACGGAGCAAGACUGAAGCCCGGCAAGACUGAAGCUCCAGAGUCUGAAUUACUGUUUGAAGGUGACGAAUGUUUCUUGUGUGGUUUGUAUGAGUACAGACAGAUGAAAUCAGGUCUUCGUAAUGACCCAAAGCCCUGAUCAGUUCUCUGUUUCCAUUUUCCUUCUCAGCUACUGUGAGGUGCACAGCAUGCUGGGCCAUCCUUAACACCAGUUACCCAAUGGUGCUUCCAUGAGGAAAUAUGGUAGAACAUAAUAUAGCAUAGAAUUUUAAAUCGAUUAGAUCACCUAUGCCACUUAUACACCAACACAGUUCAUUCAUGUCUACGUGACAUUCAGUUGCACAUAUUAGUGUCCAUGUAUAUACAUAUGAAGAAAAUUAGGGUUUUCAUUCAAGAACACAUGUGGCCAAAUGCAAAUGCCCUCUUUGAAGGGGCCAGCUUCCUGAUAAGACAUACGAUGCUUCUCACUGCAAGCUGCAAGACCUUUGGGAAUGUAUAUAUGUAUGUGUGUGUGUGUGUGAGCACACUUCCACAAGAUUAAUUCUUUUUUUUCUCGCUGCUCAUGCUACCGACCUCACAAAUCUGUGAUUCACAGCAGGAAUGUAGCCCGGAACUUCUGCUAUGUAAGCAGCUGCAGAUGCUUCGAAUACCAUUGUACAUGUGAUCCAGGACUUGCUAUAAAUUUACCCCUAAAAAUAAAGUAACAAGUGACUGAA